rfam:Drosophila mojavensis strain TSC#15081-1352.22 Ctg01_10080, whole genome shotgun sequence.
GUUACAAGGCCGUAGAGUUUCCAGUCUAAGACAUUGGCUGGCAACGCUUCAAGCCAUGUUAGAUUAAAAAACCACGCCCAAUUUACUACCAAUUUAGCGAUUGUCUUCGAAUGGGCGGUGCAAUGUAAAUGUUCGUUAUGAUUUUGUAGACUAAAUUUUAACUGCUGAUAGUUGCAUACAAAC